rnacentral:rRNA from 1 species
ACCAGACUCCUACGGGAGGCAGCAGUGGGGAAUAUUGCGCAAUGGGGGAAACCCUGACGCAGCAACGCCGCGUGAGUGAGGAAGUAUCUCGGUAUGUAAAGCUCUAUCAGCGGGGAAGAAAGAGGACGGUACCCGACUAAGAAGCCCCGGCUAACUACGUGCCAGCAGCCGCGGUAAUACGUAGGGGGCGAGCGUUAUCCGGAUUUACUGGGUGUAAAGGGAGCGUAGACGGCGUCGCAAGUCAGAAGUGAAAGCCCGCGGCUCAACUGCGGGACUGCUUUUGAAACUGUAUAGCUUGAGUGCAGGAGAGGUAAGCGGAAUUCCUAGUGUAGCGGUGAAAUGCGUAGAUAUUAGGAGGAACACCAGUGGCGAAGGCGGCUUACUGGACUGUAACUGACGUUGAGGCUCGAAAGCGUGGGGAGCAAACAGGAUUAGAUACCCCAGUAGUA